rnacentral:lncRNA from 1 species
UUCGGAUUGGUCUAUCAUAUUGAAGUCGUCUGUCUAUUUGAGUUCGUCAGUCUGUGUUGGUAAUCCUGUCGAACACUGCUUUUUAAAAAAUGUUUUGUAUUGUGGAGCUGCAUAAGUGUUUCUCUCCGUUUUCUGGAGGAUCAAGAUUUGAAAUCAGUGUAAUUAGAGUAUGAUAGCUAAAGAGAUGGAGAAAACACCUGACUCUGGAUAACAUCUUCAAACCGUGCAACCGUGAAUUUCUUGGAUUUGUUGCCUGUUAAUUGGAGGGAUAACCUGUUAUCCUCCACCUAAAGGUAACUAUAGAUAUAUUCCCCCAAAUAAAUUAAAAGGAACCACGACUGGCCCAAAUACUUUAGGUGGAGCAACUGGAUCCCGUACCUCAGCAGCAGAAGCAGCCACCCACAAUGCCUCAGCAAGUGCCACGACUGGCCCAAAUACUUUAGGUGAAGCAACUGGAUCCCGUACCGCAGAAGCAGCCACCCACAAUGCCUCAGCAAGCGCCACGACUGGCCCAAAUACUUUAGGUGAAUCACCUGGCCACAAUGCUUCAUCAGGUGUCACGGGCGUGCCCAAAUACCAUGGGUGAAGCAUCUGACUCCCGUGCCUCAGCAGCAGCAGCAACCCGAAAUGCCUCAGCAAGCGUCACAGCUGGGCCAAAUACCUUAGGUGAAGCAACUGGCCACGGUUUCUCGGAAACAACUGGCCACAGUGCCUCGGCAGCGGAAGCUACUGGCCACAGUGCCUCGCAAGCGGCCCCCCGUAAUGCAGCGGAAGCGGCCACCCAUAAUGCCUCGGCAAGUGUGCUAACCGGCCCAAAUACCUUAGGUGAAGCAACUGGCCACAAUGCUUCAUCAGGCGUCACGGCUGGCCCAAAUACCUUGGGUGAAGCAUCCGACUCUCGUGCCUCAACAGCAACCCGAAAUGCCUCAGCAAGCGUCACGGCUGGGCCAAAUACCUUAGGUGAAGCAACUGGCCACGGUUCCUCGGCAGCAGAAGCAACUGGCCACAGUGCCACCCACAAUGCCUCGGCAAGUGUGGCAACUGGCCCAAAUACCUUAGGUGAAGCACCUGGCCACAAUGCUUCAUCAGGUGUCACGGCUGGCCCAAAUACCUUGGGUGAAGCAACUGGCCACGGAGCCUCGGCAGCAGAAGCAACUGGCCACAGUGCCACCCACAAUGCCUCGGAAAGCGUGGCAACUGGCCCAAAUACCUUAGGUGAAGCACCUGGCCACAAUGCUUCAUCAGGUGUCACGGCUGGCCCAAAUACCUUGGGUGAAGCAUCCGACUCCCGUGCCUCAGCAGAAGCAGCCACCCACAAUGCCUCAGCAAGCGUCACGGCUGGCCCAAAUACCUUAUGUGAAGCAACCGGCCACUUUGCCUCGGCAGUGGAAGCAACCGGCCACAGUGCCUCAUCAAGUGCGGAAUCUGGUUCAAAUGCCUCGGCAGAAGCGACAGGCGCCCUUGCCUCGGCAAAAGCGACAGGCGCCCUUGCCUCGGCAGAAGCGACAGGCGCCCUUGCCUCGGCAGAAGCGACAGGCGCCCUUGCCUCGGCAGAAGCGACAGGCGCCCUUGCCUCGGCAGAAGCGACAGGCGCCCUUGCCUCGGCAGAAGCGACAGGCGCCCUUGCCUCGGCA